rnacentral:rRNA from 1 species
UACGUAGGGGGCGAGCGUUGUCCGGAUUUAUUGGGCGUAAAGAGCUCGUAGGCGGUUUGGCAAGUCGGGUGUGAAAACUCCGGGCUCAACUCGGAGACGCCACUCGAUACUGCCAUGACUCGAGUCCGGUAGGGGAGUGCGGAAUUCCUGGUGUAGCGGUGAAAUGCGCAGAUAUCAGGAGGAACACCGAUGGCGAAGGCAGGUCUCUGGGCCAUAACUGACGCUGAGAAGCGAAAGCAUGGGGAGCGAACAGG